CCAGGGGGCCGGGCAGCCGCGUUAUCCGCAAGGAUACCGAGGAAAGUCCGGGCUCCACGAAACAAGGGCGGCGGGUAAUGCCCGCCGGGUUAAAGUCUCCGGGUGCGAGCCUGGGGUCCCAAACCUAGGGAAAGUGCCACAGAGAGUAUACCGCCUCAGCUCGUCCUGAGCUUGUCGAAGGACCGGAGGUAAGGGUGAAAGGGUGCGGUAAGAGCGCACCGCGCGGCUGGCAACAGCAGCGGCAUGGUAAACCCCGUCCGGAGCAAAGCCAAAUAGGGGCGGCGCGCCGAUGGCUUUACGUCAGAGGCAGAUGUGUUUUGCAUCGAUCGUCCGGGUUGGCUGCUUGAGCCGUAUGGCAACAUGCGGUCUAGAUGAAUGGCUGCCCCUGCGCGGCCGGUCCGCCCCCAGGGAAACCUGGGUUUGGAUACCGCGCGCAGGACAGAACCCGGCUUACAGGCCCCCUGGCAAU
rnacentral:RNase_P_RNA from 1 species